rnacentral:sRNA from 1 species
GCUCUUUCUUUUCCUUACAAAUCCCAAAACCUUUAUUAGACUUUUUAUGCUCCUUUA